rnacentral:rRNA from 1 species
GUCCAGCCUGCCCGGUGACUAAGUUUAACGGCCGCGGUACCCUAACCGUGCGAAGGUAGCAUAAUCACUUGUUCUUUAAAUAGGGACUAGUAUCAAUGGCAUCACGAGGGUUUCACUGUCUCCUUUCUCCAAUCAGUGAAACUGAUCUCCCCGUGAAGAAGCGGGGAUUAAACUAUAAGACGAGAAGACCCCAUGGAGCUUUAAACCCAACAACAACUCUGUAAAAAUAUUCCCUCAUAACCUCAGAAUUCUGUUUGUUGGUUUUAGGCUGGGGUGACCGCGGAGUAUAAUAUAGCCUCCACGACGAACGGGUUAAACCCCUUAUCCAAGAGCCACUGCUCUAAGAAUCAUUAAACUGACGUAAAAUGAUCCAAUUAUUGAUCAACGAACCAAGUUACCCUGGGGAUAACAGCGCAAUCCAUUUCAAGAGCCCCUAUCGACAAAUGGGUUUACGACCUCGAUGUUGGAUCAGGGUAUCCUAGUGGCGCAGCCGCUACUAAUGGUUCGUUUGUUCAACGAUUAAAACCCUAC